UAGAGGCUGCAGCAUGCGUUGCUGCAGCAACUGCGAAGGCAUUUUAGUGGGGCAUUACUGACACUGAGAUACGAGAGAUACGAAAGUUAAGAUAGCGAAUGGGAUUAGAUACCCCAGUAGUCUUAACUGUAAACGAUGGAUACUCGGAAUCAAAUAUAAUAAAUAUUUUAUUCCUUAGCUAACGCGCUGAGUAUCCCGCCUGAGUAGUACGCUCGCAAGAGUAAAACCCAAGGGAAUUGACGGGGGGAGCAGGGCUUUCUCCACCUGGAUGCACAAACAGUACGCCUUUGCUGCAUGCUGCAGCAUUGUAAACUAUAGUGUACACUGUCUUUAAAUGCUCACUUGA
rnacentral:ncRNA from 1 species